GUGCUUGCUUCAACAGCACAAAUACUAAAACUGAAAUGAUACUGAGAAGAUUAGCAUGGUCCCUUUGCAAAGAUGAUACACAAAUUUGUGAAAUGUUCCAUAUUUUA